UAUCAAUCCAGGCAGAUUUCGUUAUUCCAGUUCACCUCGGGCAUCGUCAGCCUUCUUAGCUAAUCGUCAACCUCGACCAGUUUGCGACUUCUGCGCCUUGAACAAUCAACUUUGCCCGACAUGCAUUCCAUGGGGAACAUCCAAGACAUUCUGCACCAUGCCGCCUGGCGUGGCAAGCUUCUUUUUCAGACUUUGAUGAAGGAGGAAAAUAUACAUGAAACGGCGAUUACCACACUGCUUGGGUUACUGGAAUGGGUUGUCAUGCCUUAAGGCAUACGCAAUGCCCCUGCUGCCCAGCAACGCUGCAUCAACGAAGCACUGCAAGGACUUGCUGGAGAACGUUUUGUAGCAUAAGCGGAUGAUAUCAUUAUCGGGGCAAAAAUUCAAGAGACCUCUACAGGAAUAGUAUUAUGUACAUCGAACAAUUCCCUCAUUCCACAACAACACCCAAGGCUUUACGCUCGUUCGUUGGUGUACUGAACUAUUUUCGCGACCUCAUAACACUCUUCAGUUUUUGCAUGCUUGUCUCCCUCCCUACACCACUGAGAAAGCAUCCUUUCUCUAUCUCUUUACAAUUUACUAGGCUGAUUAAGAUCAAUCCCAAAGAUCAACCCCCACAUUUAACAUGAAAAUGAAUGAAAAAAAUAUAGAAAGAAUUGAAGUGGUGGAUAAUAAAGAUGGUUCAAAGUAGAUCUGAUUGAGUUGUCUAACAGUCUUGCCUUGUAUGCCUUUCAC
rnacentral:sRNA from 1 species